AUGUUGGACUGGGGAGUAUUACCAUGUUGGACUGGGGAGUAUUAUCAUGUUGAACUGGGGACUGGGGAGUAUUACCAUGUUGGACUGGGGAGUAUUACCAUGUUGGACUGGGGAGUAUUACCAUGUUGGACUGGGGGAUAUUACCAUGUUGGACUUGGGAAUGGGGAGUAUUACCAUGUUGGACUGGGUAGUGUUACCAUGUUGGACUGGGGAAUGGGGAGUAUUACCAUGUUGGACUGGGGAGUAUUACCAUGUUGGACUGGGGAGUAUUACCAUGUUGGACUGGGGAGUAUUACCAUGUUGGACUGGGGACUGGGGAGUAUUACCAUGUUGGACUGGGGAGUAUUACCAUGUUUGGACUGGGGAGUAUUACCAUGUUGGACUGGGGAGUAUUACCAUGUUGGACUGGGAGUAUUACCAUGUUGGACUGGGGACUGGGGAGUAUUACCAUGUUGGACUGGGGAAUGGGGAGUAUUAUCAUGUUGGACUGGGGAGUAUUACCAUGUUGGACUGGGGACUGGGGAGUAUUACCAUGUUGGACUGGGGAAUGGGGAGUAUUACCAUGUUGGUCUGGGGACUGGGGAGUAUUACCAUGUUGGACUGGGGAAUGGGGAGUAUUACCAUGUUGGACUGGGGAAUGGGGAGUGGGGAGUAUUACCAUGUUGGACUGGGGAAUGGGGAAUGGGGAGUAUUACCAUGUUGGACUGGGGAAUGGGGAAUGGGGAGUAUUACCAUGUUGGACUGGGGAAUGGGGAAUGGGGAGUAUUACCAUGUUGGACUGGGGAAUGGGGAAUGGGGAGUAUUACCAUGUUGGACUGGGGAAUGGGGAGUAUUACCAUGUUGGACUGGGGAGUGUUACCAUGUUGGAAUGGGGAAUGGGGAGUGUUACCAUGUUGGACUGGGGAAUGGGGAGUAUUACCAUGUUGGACUGGGGAAUGGGGAGUAUUACCAUGUUGGACUGGGGAAUGGGGAAUGGGGAGUAUUACCAUGUUGGACUGGGGAGUAUUACCAUGUUGGACUGGGGAAUGGGGAAUGGGGAGUAUUACCAUGUUGGACUGGGGACUGGGGAAUGGGGAGUAUUACCAUGUUGGACUGGGGAAUGGGGAAUGGGGAGUAUUACCAUGUUGGACUGGGGACUGGGGAGUAUUACCAUGUUGGACUGGGGAGUAUUACCAUGUUGGACUGGGGACUGGGGAAUGGGGAGUAUUACGAUGUUGGACUGGGGACUGGGGAAUGGGGAGUAUUACCAUGUUGGACUGGGGAAUGGGGAAUGGGGAGUAUUACCAUGUUGGACUGGGGACUGGGGAGUGGGGAGUAUUACCAUGUUGGACUGGGGAAUGGGGAGUAUUACCAUGUUGGACUGGGGAGUAUUACCAUGUUGGACUGGGGACUGGGGAGUAUUACCAUGUUGGACUGGGGAGUGUUACCAUGUUGGACUGGGGAAUGGGGAGUAUUACCAUGUUGGACUGGGGAAUGGGGAGUAUUACCAUGUUGGACUGGGGAGUGGGGAGUAUUACCAUGUUGGACUGGGGAAUGGGGAAUGGGGAGUAUUACCAUGUUGGACUGGGGAAUGGGGAAUGGGGAGUAUUACCAUGUUGGACUGGGGAAUGGGGAAUGGGGAGUAUUACCAUGUUGGACUGGGGAAUGGGGAGUGGGGAGUAUUACCAUGUUGGACUGGGGAAUGGGGAAUGGGGAGUAUUACCAUGUUGGACUGGGGAAUGGGGAAUGGGGAGUAUUACCAUGUUGGACUGGGGAAUGGGGAGUAUUACCAUGUUGGAAUGGGGAAUGGGGAGUAUUACCAUGUUGGACUGGGGAAUGGGGAGUAUUACCAUGUUGGACUGGGGAGUAUUACCAUGUUGGACUGGGGAGUAUUACCAUGUUGGACUGGGGAAUGGGGAGUAUUACCAUGUUGGACUGGGGACUGGGGAAUGGGGAGUAUUACCAUGUUGGACUGGGGAAUGGGGAGUAUUACCAUGUUGGACUGGGGAAUGGGGAAUGGGGAGUAUUACCAUGUUGGACUGGGGACUGGGGAAUGGGGAGUAUUACCAUGUUGGACUGGGGACUGGGGAGUAUUACCAUGUUGGACUGGGGAGUAUUACCAUGUUGGACUGGGGAGUAUUACCAUGUUGGACUGGGGAAUGGGGAGUAUUACCAUGUUGGACUGGGGAAUGGGGAAUGGGGAGUAUUACCAUGUUGGACUGGGGACUGGGGAAUGGGGAGUAUUACCAUGUUGGACUGGGGACUGGGGAGUAUUACCAUGUUGGACUGGGGAGUAUUACCAUGUUGGACUGGGGAGUAUUACCAUGUUGGACUGGGGAAUGGGGAGUAUUACCAUGUUGGACUGGGGAAUGGGGAGUAUUACCAUGUUGGACUGGGGAAUGGGGAGUAUUACCAUGUUGGACUGGGGAGUAUUACCAUGUUGGACUGGGGAAUGGGGAGUAUUACCAUGUUGGACUGGGGAGUAUUACCAUGUUGGACUGGGGAAUGGGGAGUAUUACCAUGUUGGACUGGGGAAUGGGGAGUAUUACCAUGUUGGACUGGGGAAUGGGGAGUAUUACCAUGUUGGACUGGGGAAUGGGGAGUAUUACCAUGUUGGACUGGGGAGUAUUAUUACUUAUUUACUGUUUUCUGUUUGUGUUUAUUUUUGUGGUGUGUGUGUGUUGCAGUUAUUCGCAGGUGUUUGAGUGUGUGUGCCGCUUCCUUGGACGUGCGGAGAGAGAGAGACCGAGAGCAGCAGCUGUUAUGAGACUUGGAGCAGCUCAACUCUUCAUUACACACUGUCAACCUCCUGGGUACACACACACACACACACACACACACACACACACACACACACACACACACACACACACACACACACACACACACACACACACACACUGA
ensembl:lncRNA